rnacentral:lncRNA from 1 species
ACAUAUUAGAAUGUGUCACAUCCAGUAUUGGUUUUUUUAUGGGAAGGAGGGAGUACUGGGGAAAAUUUCACGGUUAAAUAUAUUCUUUUUUAAGAAGAAGAAGGGUGGAAGAAAAGAAGCUGGUCCUGUUGCAUGUACCCGAAAAAGGCCCAAAAAGGUCAAGCAGGCCCCCCAAAAAAAAGGCCGAGAAGGCCGAAAACUGAAGGAGUACAGCGGCCGCCGCCGCCGCCGCCGACGAGUGGUGUUUUCUGGUCACCUGCGGCAGCCGUCGUGGUCCAAGACCGCGAACCCUAGAAGCAAGAGACCAAGAGUCGAGGAGGAGGAGGAGGAGUUGGCCGGAAUCCCCGUGUGGAAGGCAGUAUGGGUUGUUCAAAGACACAGACUCAGGAAGACUCUGAAUUCAAUCAAUGCAAUGAAGAGCGCUCCCUGUGCUUACACUCAUUUUCUGACUUGUCACAUGACUGCUACCUAUAUGGAACUGACAAAGCAACCCCAAAGUUCAAGAUCCUUCAGCUGCAGGUUAAAAGGGUAUUAA